CAAGUCGAACGAGGCUGAGGGGGCAACUCCUCAGUUUAGUGGCGGACGGGUGAGUAACACGUGGGUAACCUGCCCGGAAGUGGGGAAUACCUCGGGGAAACUCGAGCUAAUACCGCAUAACAUCUUCGAGACGAAAGUCCUGACGAUCAAAGCGGGGUCGCAAGAUCUCGCGCUACCGGAUGGGCCCGCGCCCGAUUAGCUAGUUGGUGAGGUAACGGCUCACCAAGGCUUCGAUCGGUAACCGGCCUGAGAGGGCGAUCGGUCACACCGGAACUGAGACACGGUCCGGACUCCUACGGGAGGCAGCAGUGGGGAAUCUUGCGCAAUGGGCGAAAGCCUGACGCAGCAACGCCGCGUGGAGGAUGAAGGCCCUUGGGUUGUAAACUCCUGUCGGCUGGGAAGAAAUCGUUCGGGGCUAAUACCUUCGGACGUUGACUGUACCAGCAAAGGAAGCCCCGGCUAACUCUGUGCCAGCAGCCGCGGUAAUACAGAGGGGGCCAGCGUUAUUCGGAAUUAUUGGGCGUAAAGGGCGCGUAGGCGGCCAUGCGUGUCUCCCGUGAAAUCCCUCGGCUUAACUGAGGACGUGCGGGAGAAACUGCAAGGCUCGAGUCCGGGAGAGGGGGGUGGAAUUCCCAGUGUAGCGGUGAAAUGCGUAGAUAUUGGGAGGAACACCGGUGGCGAAGGCGGCCCCCUGGACCGGUACUGACGCUGAGGCGCGAAAGCGUGGGUAGCAAACGGGAUUAGAUACCCCGGUAGUCCACGCCGUAAACGAUGGGCACUUGGUGUCGCGGGUAUCGACCCCUGCGGUGCCGAAGCUAACGCAUUAAGUGCCCCGCCUGGGGAGUACGGUCGCAAGGCUGAAACUCAAAGGAAUUGAC
rnacentral:rRNA from 1 species